rnacentral:snRNA from 1 species
GGACGGUGGGAUUUUUAUUAGUGCGCUUUAAUUACACAAAAUAAUUAGUUUUAUUGUGACAUAUUCAUACAUGCAAGUGCCCUACUUGAAUCACAGGUAGGUGUCCAUUCCUCCCUCACUGCUCCAUGUGCAUCUCUCCUGAAACCAUGCUCUCUCAUAGAGGAUGACCUUUCCCUAUAGAGGAAGACUAUUCUUCAAUCACAAGCACCCAAGUGGCUGUGCCCACCUGACAGAAUCUCUAAAUGUGUUCUCAAAUUCCAAACAAGUUCUAGCCACUACACGGCCUUUCCCUAGAAUUAUAACUUUUAAAUUAGCCUUUGACUUUUAUUUAUU